rnacentral:rRNA from 1 species
UACGGGGGGGGGCAAGCGUUGUUCGGAAUUACUGGGCGUAAAGGGCUCGUAGGCGGCCAACUAAGUCAGACGUGAAAUCCCUCGGCUUAACCGGGGAACUGCGUCUGAUACUGGAUGGCUCGAGAUUGGGAGAGGGAUGCGGAAUUCCUGGUGUAGCGGUGAAAUGCGCAGAUAUCAGGAAGAACACCAAUGGCGAAAAGCAGCUUUCUGGGACGGUACUGACGCUGAGACGCGAAAGCGUGGGGAGCGAACAGG